rnacentral:lncRNA from 1 species
AUGUCCAUCAGCCCCUGCGCAUGGAUCUUGAAGCUCUUUAUCUGUCCUCCCAGCAGAGCCAUGCUGGUUGAAGUUUCCUUCCUGCCCUUUACCACUGUUGUCUCCUUGUUUGAUGUUCUGGGACAAAUGGCCAAGCCGGAUCUGUUAGAACUCCUGGGCAGUGGCUUUGUAGCAGAAGAUGCCCCCACCCCCACUUGCUUAUCCCAUAUAAAUCCUAGACGACCAGAGAUCAGGACUUGAUAUUUUCGGAAUGUUCCCAGUCAGUACCUGUCAACAUAAAAUAAGUCUAC